CCAGGCGCGCUCCCGACGACAGCGCGCGGGAGGGAGGGAGGAAUUAUCGGGAGCGGGGAAGAGGAGAAAUCACGCUGCGAAGGAGACCCAAGCGCUUUCAAGAUCUCUCCAUUCCCCGGAAAUGUAUAGUGUGUCUCUAUAUAUGUAUAUACACAUAUUUUUUCUCCAGUUUCGCUAACUGCAGAAGAUGAAAGGGGGACAGCCUUUAGAAACAGUGGAGAAAACCAUUACCCGGCUAUCAAGAGGGAGAUCUGCAGUGCAGAGUUAGAAAGCUUCUAAGCCGCAACCGACUGCAACCUGGUUCAUUAAAUAAACAUGCAAUGCACUGACCCUCCGCGGAAGGGUUGGUCCCGGGCCCAGUUCCGAGGCUCCCUGUACUCCUAAGGACCCGUUCCUUUCCUUGACUUGGGGAGCCCUGCCUAGAUUCCUAACUCCCCAGUGCAAUGUAACUGAAGGGAAGGGGAUAUUUUUCAAGAGGAAGCCAUCAUCCCAAAAUAAAAGGACUGGCCACUCCCCCUAAACUCUGCAGACUCAGAGAAAAAUGUGGCAACGGGGAAUGUUUCCUGAAACCUAUGUAGAGAAGGCUAGAGCAGAACAAUUCCUCCCUAGGGGGAUCAUUUCAGUGAACAGCAGAUCCUUUCAAUAUCCUCUUCCAUUCCUGGCAGCAAGCAAACGUCUAAUCAGAUAUUCAGCUCAGUGCACAAAAUGGCUAACAUCAUCUAAUGUGGCAGAGGCAGCUCUAGUUUGCACCAGUAAGGAAUGCAUUUCGUUUCAGUCGUGAGGAAUAGAUGUAACAAACCUUUUUGUGCCUUUGUCUCCCUUUGGAAAACCACUCUGGCUCCAUGAAUACUCUGCAGUGAGGUGGGGUACCAAACUACUAAUGCCAAAUACAAAGGAGCCUGGAAGCUUGGAUAGACUGUUAAAUUGCUAUGUUGAUUGCAGAAUACAAUCUAAUUCCUGUUCAGUUAUGAACUAAGGCUUUACCUAGAAAACUGUAAACCUCAAGCAUUUGGAAGACUUUUUAAAAGGUCUGUCAACAUUUGCAUUAACUAAGUUCCAUUCAUUUAGCAGAAUUUAUUUAGUUCUUAUUAUGUACCUAACAUAAGGAGCUCUUAUGUUAUAGAAGAGCUCUUAAUGGAAUACACUUUAAACUAUAUAUCCUAUGGGCUAUAUCAACUUUUGGCUCAGUACCUUUUUCAGGUAGUAAAUACAUAUAAAAUUAGGGAAAAGCACUGAUUUUUAAAAAUUGUACUCUCUCUGUGCAAGAUUCAGCAAUCAGAUAUUUAUUGCACACCUAUUAUUAUUCCAUCAUUUGUUGUUAUUCUUGCAUGGUUCAAACCACCAUUCAAUAGUUGCCCAUCCUUUUGCCUUAUCUAACAAAAUUUUGCCAGAAGGUGGAAGGGAGAGUGUUGCCCUUGUUGUGUAACUCAGUGCUGCUGCCCAUAGUCCAUGGAAACAUGGCUACAAUCAAGUAUUUGUCCAGCCUGA